rnacentral:rRNA from 1 species
GAUGAACGCUAGCUACAGGCUUAACACAUGCAAGUCGAGGGGUAACGAGAGGAAAGCUUGCUUUCCUUGUCGACGACCGGCGCACGGGUGAGUAACGCAUAUCCAACCUGCCCCCAACUAGGGAAUAACCUUGCGAAAGUAAGACUAAUACCCUAUAAUUUCCUCAGAUGACAUCUGACGAGGAAUAAAGAUUUAUCGGUUGUGGAUGGGGAUGCGUCUGAUUAGCUUGUUGGCGGGGUAACGGCCCACCAAGGCAACGAGCAGUAGGGGUUCUGAGAGGAAGGUCCCCCACAUUGGAACUGAGACACGGUCCAAACUCCUACGGGAGGCAGCAGUGAGGAAUAUUGGUCAAUGGGCGGAAGCCUGAACCAGCCAAGUAGCGUGCAGGAUGACGGCCCUAUGGGUUGUAAACUGCUUUUAUACAGGAAUAAAGUUAGCCACGUGUGGUUAUUUGUAGGUACUGUAUGAAUAAGGACCGGCUAAUUCCGUGCCAGCCGCCGCUGUAACAC